CGGGACGGGUGAGUAACACGUGGAUAACCUACCUAUAAGACUGGGAUAACUUCGGGAAACCGGAGCUAAUACCGGAUAAUAUAUUGAACCGCAUGGUUCAAUAGUGAAAGACGGUUUUGCUGUCACUUAUAGAUGGAUCCGCGCCGCAUUAGCUAGUUGGUAGGGUAACGGCUUACCAAGGCGACGAUGCGUAGCCGACCUGAGAGGGUGAUCGGCCACACUGGAACUGAGACACGGUCCAG
rnacentral:rRNA from 1 species